rnacentral:tRNA from 1 species
GAAAUAAGAUAAUCAAAAAUAAGCUUCUAACUUAAAUUUUAAGCAGUGAAACUCUGUUUUUAUUUCU